UCCUCCUUUUUCUCUCUUUUUUCUUAAUCACUUUUCUUAAAGCGCACGCAGGCGGAUUGAUAAGUCAGGGGUGAAAUCCCGGAGCUCAACUUCGGAAUUGCCUUUGAUACUGUCUGUCUUGAGUCCGGGAGAGGUGAGUGGAAUUCCUAGUGUAGAGGUGAAAUUCGUAGAUAUUAGGAAGAACACCAGUGGCGAAGGCGGCUCACUGGCCCGGUACUGACGCUCAUGUGCGAAAGCGUGGGGAGCAAACAGG
rnacentral:rRNA from 1 species